rnacentral:rRNA from 1 species
CCUACGGGUGGCAGCAGUGAGGAAUAUUGGUCAAUGGGCGCUAGCCUGAACCAGCCAAGUAGCGUGAAGGAUGACUGCCCUACGGGUUGUAAACUUCUUUUAUAAAGGAAUAAAGUGAGGCACGUAUGCCUUUUUGUAUGUACUUUAUGAAUAAGGAUCGGCUAACUCCGUGCCAGCAGCCGCGGUAAUACGGAGGAUCCGAGCGUUAUCCGGAUUUAUUGGGUUUAAAGGGAGCGUAGAUGGGUUGUUAAGUCAGUUGUGAAAGUUUGCGGCUCAACCGUAAAAUUGCAAUUGAUACUGGCAGCCUUGAGUACAGUAGAGGUAGGCGGAAUUCGUGGUGUAGCGGUGAAAUGCUUAGAUAUCACGAAGAACCCCGAUUGCGAAGGCAGCUUACUAAACUGUGACUGACAUUGAUGCUCGAAAGUGUGGGUAUCAAACAGGAUUAGAUACCCGAGUAGUC